rnacentral:rRNA from 1 species
GAUGAACGCUGGCGGCGUGCUUAACACAUGCAAGUCGAACGGAGCUUGUUGGAAAGAGACUUCGGUCAAUUGAAUUCAAGCUUAGUGGCGGACGGGUGAGUAACGCGUGAGUAACCUGCCUCAAACAGGGGGAUAACGCAUCGAAAGAUGUGCUAAUACCGCGUAAGACCACAGCACCGCAUGGUGCAGGGGUCAAAGGAGCAAUCCGGUUUGAGAUGAGCUCGCGUCCGAUUAGCUAGUUGGUGAGAUAACAGCCCACCAAGGCAACGAUCGGUAGCCGACCUGAGAGGGUGAUCGGCCACAUUGGAACUGAGACACGGUCCAGACUCCUACGGGAGGCAGCAGUGGGGAAUAUUGGGCAAUGGGCGAAAGCCUGACCCAGCAACGCCGCGUGAGGGAAGAAGGGUUUCGGCUCGUAAACCUCUGUCCUAAGGGACGAAGAAGUGACGGUACCAUAGGAGGAAGCCCCGGGCUAACUACGUG